rnacentral:rRNA from 1 species
AGAACUGCCGUUGAUACUGCUAGUCUUGAGUAUAGUUGAGGUAGCUGGAAUGAGUAGUGUAGCGGUGAAAUGCAUAGAUAUUACUCAGAACACCGAUUGCGAAGGCAGGUUACCAAGUUAUAACUGACGCUGAGGGACGAAAGCGUGGGGAGCGAACAGGAUUAGAUACCCUGGUAGUCCACGCCGUAAACGAUGCUAACUCGUUUUUGGGCUAUAUGGUUCAGAGACUAAGCGAAAGUGAUAAGUUAGCCACCUGGGGAGUACGACCGCAAGGUUGAAACUCAAAGGAAUUGACGGGGGCCCGCACAAGCGGUGGAUCAUGUGGUUUAAUUCGAUGAUACGCGAGGAACCUUACCAAGGCUUAAAUGGGAAUUGACAGCUGUAGAAAUACGGUUUUCUUCGGACAAUUUUCAAGGUGCUGCAUGGUUGUCGUCAGCUCGUGCCGUGAGGUGUUAGGUUAAGUCCUGCAACGAGCGCAACCCCUGUCACUAGUUGCCAUCAUUAAGUUGGGGACUCUAGUGAGACUGCCUACGCAAGUAGAGAGGAAGGUGGGGAUGACGUCAAAUCAUCACGGCCCUUACGCCUUGGGCCACACACGUGAUACAAUGGCCGGUACAGAGGGCAGCUACACUGCGAAG